rfam:Clostridium halophilum strain M1 genome assembly, contig: G325DRAFT_scaffold00033.33
UUAUUUAAGAGUUUGAUCCUGGCUCAGGAUGAACGCUGGCGGCGUGCUUAACACAUGCAAGUCGAGCGAGAAGGCUUUAACUAAUCCUUCGGGAGAAGAUAGAGCUGGAAAGCGGCGGACGGGUGAGUAACGCGUGGGUAACCUGCCUUGUACAGAGGGAUAGCCGCCGGAAACGGUGAU